AUUGGCUGGCGCAGGAGCCGCCGGCGUCUUGUGACCGUCUCCAUAGCGCCGGCGCGCGGAGGGAUGGAGGCGGGCGCGGGGUUGUCCCCUUGCCGCCGGCUGCGAACUUCCCCCGGCUAGGUGCCCCGGGCAACUCGGGAUUGCUGCGAGUGGAGAGAAACCCCUGCCUCGGGGUCGCAGGGAAUCUGGAAUGCUUGCCCGCGGAGUUCGUUCGUCCUUCCCCAAACGCCUGAGUUGGCCAGCCCUGGGGAGGAGCCAGAAUGGCAGAAGCCCAGACUUUGACUGAUGGCGCUGCGAAUCUCCAGCGUCACGGGGACCGGGAGACUGAUUUCCUGUAGAAAAACUUGCAUCUCGCAUCUCCUGGCCCGGCGGCGAUCGAAGAACAAGUUGGGGUAGUCGGCUUCCUUCACUGUGUGGGCUUAAAGCGUGGUCUGAAACGCUCCCCGCGCGGUUCCUUUCUCCAAAACUUUGACAAACUUUCCUUUGUCUCUAUCAGUCCCCAGUGAGUUCUUUACCAGGGUGCGCUACAUGUUGUAGAUGUGAUAUGGCAUAUCGGCUUUAGCUUUGCUCUUGGGGAUUUGGUGAUUGGACAGCACCUUGCAUAAUCAGAAGAGCUUGGUUUUCUUCAAGUAGGAGAUCUUUAACAUAUAUCUAAAGCGGGUUUGCCUUUAAUUGCUUUAUUGCUUUAUCUUUAUAGAAUGUUUUCGUGUAUCAGAGUGAGCAAAUUUCAUAUGUCAUUCUAUACAGUUCCAGUUUAAAUGGGUCUAAACUCUGGAACUCAGUGUGCAUAGAACCCUCUGAGACUUGACACCUUAGGCAGUCUACCGCUAAAGUGGGAUAAAGUAUGUAGAAGCGCUCAUAAAGGCAUUUGAAAAACUAGGACCCUUAAUUUCUUCUUUCCCAGUACUGAAAUCUUUUCUCUCCACUUACCUAUAAUACUGUUGUGCUAAGUGUAAUUUACUUAAUACGUUCCUCUUAAAUUCUCAGAACAGUGAGUAAAGGCAUUACAAAUCUUGUACUAUAUUUUGUCCCCACCAAGAAAACAAAAUGGUUCAUUCAAGCAGUCAAACAGAAAACCCUGAUUUUGUUCCAUUUUACAAGAAUUCUAGCGAAGUAGUUUUUGUUGUUUUAAUCUAUACUUUAUACAUCAUUUCCACUUUGCUGGGUCAGGAAAAUUCUGAACUGUGUAGUACAGUAAAAUCAUAGGUAUAGAAAGAGCAAGCCAUAAAUAGGAAAUAAGAUUGGAAAAUACAGCCUGGACUGAGGUAUUAUGGGAAACCAAGACAUACUAGAGAUAACAAGAACCCUGGAAAAAGAUACUCUUCCAACCUGUAAAUAAGAAAACAGAGAAGAAGGCUCAUUAAUGUUUAAGAUCCCAACUAGAGAAUUAAAGCUGUAAUUUAGGUAUCUGGCCUUAGUAUUCAAUCUUAUUCUCUACAUCUCUUUCCCUUUUCAGAAGUAAGGCAUUUUCACUUGUUUUAAGAAUGGUAAAUUAAGUUUGGGCACAACUUGAGGUUUGUAGCAACUUGUGAUAUGACAUGGUUAUACUUUUAAUAUUCAGAAGUUUGUAGAACUAGGAGCAAGCUAAAAUUGCCAGUUAUUCAAUACCUUCCCAAUUUUCUCAUCCAGAGUCCUGUGACCUUAAAACCUAUACUAGCUGACCUUCCUAGUCCUACCCCAUUUCUACCUCUGGCCUUAUUUCUGCUAAACAAUUUGUUCCAGCUACACAGGCCUGCUCCCUGAUCUUAUAUAAAAACAAGGCAAUCUCAGUCCUGGAGCAUAUGUACCUAUUAUCUCUAUGUGGAAGAAUCUUUCCACCAGUAUCAUCCAAGAAACCUACCCUACCAUUCCAUUUAAAACAUUGCCUCUCCCCUAACAGCCUCCCUUCUUUGCUUCAGUUUUUUCAUAGUAGUUACACCUAACAAAUUACUAUUUUUCUUAUUAUCUGUCUUCCACUAGAUUAUAAGCUCCAUGAGACCAUGUCUUUCUGUUUUGUUCAGUGAUAUUUCCUUAGUACCUAAAAUAGGAUGGCGUGUGACACAGAGUAGAUGCUCAAUAAAUAUAUUUUAAAUUGAUGCCUGAAUCAUUUCCUAAGACACCAUGGAAAAGGCUAGUUAAAACUAAUUAGAAACAAUCCUUUAUGUUGAAAGAGUAAAUUACUUAAGUUAUACUGCCACUAGAAUACUAAGAAGAAAGCUUGUGACGGAAUUGUGAGCUGUCUUUCCACCUUCUUAAACAAAUACUGUUGGGGAUGAGUCAAAGUUAAUUUUCUAGCAAAGGAAACAAAGUGAAUAGGUAUGCUAUUUCAUAAUUGUGGAAAUUGACUUAUAUAGUUGGAAAAGAAUGCUUACAGAAGCAGCUAGCAUUUUAAAAAACAAAGUAAGCACCUAAUUUGAUACAGAUUGCAGUUUCAUUCCAUGUGGUCUUAAAAACAUCCUAUUCAUAUCAGUUAUUACAAAGGAAAUGUGGAACAGGAAGAUCUGAGAUGCUGGGUGUUUUAGUUAUCAAUAAGAAAUUUAAAACAAAACAAACUAUCUUAAGCACAUGAUAAGGAUGCCUCUGUGGUUGUUAUUGAAAGAAGUUAGAUUUCCCAACAGCAAUAUCCAAUCAGUCUAGCAAAAGAAAAGAGGACAAAAAGAAGCAAAAAUCAAGUGUGAAAUGCUUUGAAAUAGUCCACUGCCAGUGAUUUUUAAACCUCCAAGCAAACAGAAUAUCCAGGUUGUCCAUUUUUAGUGUGAGACAAAACAAUUUUUUCUACAUAUUCAGAUUGUCACAAAUUGCCUCUAAUUUCUUUUUGAGAAACUGGAAAUGUACAGCAUUAACUACCUAAACAAAUUUGACCUAUCGAACAGUUGCCACAUUUAAAUAUUUUGGUAACAACCUUUUUUUUUUUUUUAGUGUGUAUUUGUUUGGUCCUUGGGAUUAAAGCCAAAGGCACUUAACCACUGAGCUUUUUCCUAGCCCUUUUUCCUUUUUUUGUUUUUGUUUUUUUGUGUUUUUUUGUUUUGUUUUAUUUCAUUGAAAGACAGUCUCAGUAAGUUGCUGAGGCUGGCUUUGAACUUUCAGUUCUCCUGCUUCCACCUCCUGCUUCCGCCUCCCAAACCGCUAGGAUUACAGGUGUGCACCAUGACCAUGCCUGGUUAGUUUUAUUUUUAACUGAUAUAAUUGUACAAAUUUAGAGUGUACAAUGUGAUGUUUCAAUAUGUAUAUACAUAGUGUGAUGAUCAAAUCAGGAUAAUCAGCAUAGCCAUCAUCUCAAAAUAUUUAUUACUUUGUAGUAAAAUAAUUACAAAUCCUCUAGCUAAUUUGAAAUAUAUAAUACAUUAUAUUUUAUUUAAACAUUUUAUCAGCUCCAGUUUCUUAUAAUAUUAUUAGCGUGAUCCACCAUCUCUACUGAACAUUAAUAACUGCCAUAUAUUCAUUAACAAAGUACAGGGUCAAAGCCAGCAAAUAGACAUUGAAAUAAUGCAUUGGAAACAGGAGACUGUAGUCAAAGUACAGACAAGAGCAGACUAUCCCAAUAGCAGCUUUUAUAGAACAAUAUUAAACAGAAAUUCCAGAGCACUUAAGAGUGCUCUGAAGUCUACCUUCAAACAGCCCAACAUGGGUAUUUUUUUCUUGCUUGGUACAGUUUGAGAAAAUACUGGGCCAACUCAAGACCAACAGACAGGCAGAAAUAAUAUACAGCUCUGCUAACAGCAGAUGCAGCCAUUAUAAAAUUACAAUGUUCACACGUCUCUUCAAUAACAGUUCUACAAUGAUACAAAGAGCUAAAUAAAAAGGACAAUAUUACAGAUACUUAAAAGUCUAUGGUAUAUUUCAUAUGUAUUACCAGAUCAAUGGUACCCCAGUUAAUAGUUCUUAAAAGCAAAUACUAUUUUAAACCACAAAAAAAUUUUUAAAAAGUAGAUUGAAAGCACAUUACAAACAAUUCUUUAUUAUGGAUACUUAAUUAUGGGCCAGAUUGUAGCAAGAAUUUGAACGUGUUAUAUCUAAUAUUUGGAAAAGGUCAUCACAGUAGAUCUUAUCAUACACUUACAGACCUUGAGAGCUUUAGUCACUUAUCCUAGGUAACCUGUAAAAGAUACAAGCUAUCAAUGAUGGUAUUGAGCUUUUAUCACCUGAAGUCAUGUUUGUCAAGUUUCUACACUGUGAAAUUACUCUUUUCUCCACUUUUCACACUAUACUCCUUGAAAAGAAGACACUCUGUGUGGCCCACACUUAGAGAAUGGGAAUUUAUGUUCCUUUUGAGGGUAGAGUAUACAAAUAAAUUAUUUGAAAUUAUUUUGCAUUGGAGAUUUGCCUCUUUUCUGUUAUUUAAUGAUUUAUAUAAACAUGAACACAUAGGUAUUUAUCUUAAACUUUAGGUUAAAAUUCAAUACCAUUUUAUUUUAUUAUUCAAAUUGUCCCAGCUUUGGUCACUGGAACUUUUUCAGAUGUCCUGUGUCCCUCUAACAAACUCCAAUCAAUAUGGAGCCAUUUAUUUUCAUUCUUAAGCACUUCUUUAUUUUCUAAUAGAUAUAAAAUAUUCCAGACUUAUCAUGCCCCAAGUCUAGAAUCAACCAUUUCUCUAAGAAACCCUGGUUCCUUUUAUUGGAGAAUGAUAUUAGAAACAAGGAUAGAAAUUUUACUUGCUGCUUGAGGUGUCAUUUCUUGUAAGCCUUUGUAGCUGACAAAGCAAGGAUAAUAUAUAGGUAUACACUAAUCCAUGUAUAUACACCUAUCUAUAUUUUUGUAUGUAACACUCUAUAUUAAGCUAAAUAUUAGUAUAUAGUGAUGUCUCCAACUUAAUUCCAUUUACCAAAACAAUCAUUCUACUUCCUCCCCUUAUCUAUAAUUCUUAUUUCAUCAGUGACAAAUCUGGCUCCUGCCAUCUCCAUUUACUUGUUUCAUUUCAAUGCACAUGUAUAGCAGUAUCAGAAUUGUUAGCCCAUACCCUCAUGGGAAACAGAUUUAUCAACUGUUAACAUACAGUUACUUUUGUUUUUAAUCUUACAGACUUUAGUCAUUUCCAGAGUUACUGAGUUGGGCACCUCUUCCCCAAUCCCUUCAGUGAGGUUGUUUGAUAUAUUUAUAAUACAGUUAGAUUGUCUUGUCAACUUCUGCAUUGUUUCCUGAGAUCUGCCUACUUCCUAAAUGAUGUGAUUUUUUAUUUGCAUAAGUUGCUUCACUCUUUUUGACAAAUGCAUAAUGUCACCUAUCCACCAUUAUAAUACCAUAGAGAAUUGUUUCACCAGCCCAAAUCAUAAAGGAAAGCGCAUAGCAGUUUGCUUUCACAUUUUAUCUGUACACCCAAGCACCUUAUGAUUUUAUUGAAUGAGCUUAUUUGACUCUGUGUGUGUGUGUGUUUAUCAAGUAGAGUUGUAUAACUCAGAAUUAUGUGUAUACUACAUCUUUAAGUAUAUAUAUUAAACUAAAGACUAAAACGUUUCGACCAUCUCUGUCCUUAAUCUGACAUGCUAAGUGUUGUUAUUAGCCUUUGUCCUCUUGUUUUUGCCUUCAGCCAAAGGAGGAAAUGAGAAAAGCAAUCUACUCAUAAAACAAGCUCUAUAAUACAUCUCCAUAUUUAACGCUUACCUCAGCUAGUUCCAUUUUUACAAAGGGUAAAAUCAAAUAAUAUAUUGCUUCCUAUUUAACUAGCUUAACAACUAAGUUUAAAAAAGAAAAUAAG
rnacentral:lncRNA from 1 species